rnacentral:tRNA from 1 species
GUCCCAUUAGCGCAGUGGAUAGCGCGUUGGACUUCUAAUUUAUAGAAGAAGUAAUCCAAAGGUCCUGGGUUCGACCCCCAGAUGGGAUG